rnacentral:tRNA from 1 species
GCGGGUGUGGCGGAACUGGUAGACGCGCGGGAUUCAAAAUCCCGUUCUUUCGGGAGUGGGGGUUCGAUUCCCUCCACCCGCACCA